rnacentral:misc_RNA from 1 species
GCUAAUAUACAUUCAGACCAAAAGGUUUUUAGCAGAUUGGCUUGAAGUCUUAUUGCCCUUGCUGUGUCAAGUAAGUAUUUAUGUUUUCUCUCCACCACCCCAUUCUGUUGGGGUGUAUAAGGACAAGUUCUUUGAUGGGAAAUACCUUUAUCAGACAAUAAUUGAGAAAAAGCUUGACUUAAAAACUCUGCUCCAUUAUCAGUUCUAACUGUCUUAAUUGUAACCCCAAAUUGGUUCUGAAUAGAAUGGACAAAUUUUGAGAAAAUACCAAGACUUUGAGAUUUAUGUUGCAACAUAAAGGUCCAAGUGGCUCUAGAAUAAUCAUCUACUAUGGUAAGGAAAAAUUUGGCUACUGUGAUAGAGGUGAUAGGAUAAGGUCGCCAAAGAUCUACAUGAAUAAGAUCGAAAGGAUGGGUGGAUAUUGAGUCACUAUCUGGAAAAGGAAGUCUAUGAUCCUUUGCUAAAGGACAAAUGAGACAACUGAAUUUAUCGUUAUUUGUAAAUGACAUUCCAGGUAAAUGAGACAUUUUACCAAAAGAAACAUGACCUAAUCUAGCAUGUAUGACAGAAAUAUUUUGUGUUGACAUA